rnacentral:rRNA from 1 species
GAUGAACGCUCGCUACAGGCUUAACACAUGCCAGUCGAGGGGCAGCAUGAACUUAGCUUGCUAAGUUUGAUGGCGACCGGCGCACGGGUGAGUAACACGUAUCCAACCUGCCGAUGACUCGGGGAUAGCCUUUCGAAAGAAAGAUUAAUACCCGAUGGCAUAGUUCUUCCGCAUGGUAGAACUAUUAAAGAAUUUCGUUCAUCGAUGGGGAUGCGUUCCAUUAGGUUGUUGGCGGGGUAACGGCCCACCAAGCCUUCGAUGGAUAGGGGUUCUGAGAGGAAGGUCCCCCACAUUGGAACUGAGACACGGGCCAAACUCCUACGGGAGGGAGAAGUGAGGAAUAGUGGUCAAUGGACGAGAGUCUGAACCAGCCAAGUAGCGUGAAGGAGGACUGCCCUAUGGGUUGUAAACUUCUUUUAUACGGGAAUAAAGUGAGGCACGUGUGCCUUUUUGUAUGUACCGUAUGAAUAAGGAUCGGCUAACUCCGUG